CUGCAUGCCACACAGGGUCAGAUGGGCACCGCACUCUGUAGUGGAGUGAGGGCUGCGGGCUGAGGAAGCAGGCGGGCUUGGUAGUAACAAGAGCACACGAUGACCAAUGGUUCCCGAGGGGGAAUGCAAUUGGCUUGUUUGAAUAAAUUCAUGGGCUGGCAGACAGGUGAAGCGAAACUUCUUAGGCUGAGGUGCAACUGUUCUGGCUGAUAAAAGAACUAGCCAGGUGGGGAGCCUUUCCUGUUGGGUGGCGGGGUAGGGGGUGUCUGGUAGAAACAGGAAAACCCACGGCUAGGCCUUUGGGGCCCUGUGAGGCUCAAAGAUGUCAAGGCAGCAUAGGAAAUUUUAGAUCUUAAAAUUCAGCGAAGACCCUCUCCAGCUCUGGUUUUCUGCCUCCUGCUAAGCCAAUUUAUACAUUCCAAGAAAAUCUUCCAUUUCAUCCAGGUGAAACGGAACCUACUGGAAUGAAGCUGGCCUCCCAUGGAAUGAAGCUGGCCUCCCGUCUCCUUGAUUUGAAGCAGCUUCUCCACGUUGGUUAUUAUGCCAUUUUUCUAAAUCUAACAUUUUAAAAUUUGUGCCUUUUCUUUCUCUUUUGCUUGACUUCUCAGAGGUUUUUUUAACGGUCUUUUCAAAGAAGUGGUUUUGGGUUUUAUUUAUCAAGUCUACUUUUAUUAUGGCUGUUUUAAAAUUAAAUACAUUUAUUUCUUGUUUCCCUUAAAAAAGCUUCUUGUAUGUUUACUUAGUUUAUAUAAUUUUAUAUGUCUUCUGUUGAAGCAUAUUAACAAACACUUCCAGCUAUAACGUUUCCCCUGAGAACUGCUUUGGACACAUCCAGAGAUUUUGAUAGGUCACACACUUAUUGUAGUUUGUUUCUGAAAAGUUUUUCAUUUUAGUUUUUAUUUUCUCUUUUACUCAAAUUAUCAUGAGCUUUCUCCUUUUAUCCUGUUUCUGACAAAUUAAUCUGAGGAUAUAAAUUUCUCCCUAAAUGUCAAUUUUGUUGAGUUUCAUAAUUUUAAUAUGUAAUACCCUAUUGCUAUUGAGUUCCAGGC
rnacentral:lncRNA from 1 species